AGUGAGGCACGCCUCUUCCUGCGGCACUUACAGAGAGCCUGACUGCUGAACGAGUGGCCAGUGGCGGUGCGUGUGUGUGUUUGUGCAAGAGGAGUACUCACCUGGAGACGCAACACUCCCUUCCUGACGCGGCAACACACGCACAGAUUUGCAUCAACCAGCAGCAGCAGCAGCAGCAGCAUGUCAGUAGUAGCAGGAGUAGUGAAUGGUCACUCGUAUGUGGUGACUACUUGGACUAUCAGGCCGCCCUUGUAGUGUGCUGGACUAUUGGUCAACAAGGAGCCCUGAAAGUUACGUGGUACAACUAUCUCGGCGAUAGUAAAGGCUGCGUGGAAGCGUCUUUGUGAUGGCUGUCAGGCAGACCUGAGCCAGUUCUGCCGCUCUACACUCCGUGGAUCGUUCAUCCUACUACUGUUUUAUGUCAUGUGACUACGUCUCUUGAACGCUUGGAUUUGGUGGAGCAAGGUGGCCAGGGUGUGGGGCCAGUGCAAGUGAUCUCAGGACUGCUUUGGGCUCCAUAGGACCAGUGAUCUCCGUGAAAACUCGAUAGCGGCCAAUACCUGCCGGGGAAUCAUCCCCUUGUUGCGCCGCCGCCCGUGACGUCACCACGAAAAGAUACACAGUGCGACAGACAAUACUCGUCUAACCUGGAAUGAGGCGGAGGGUGCGGCGAAGUGGUCAGCUGUGGCUGUGGCCGCCUUCAGCCCACCCGCCUGACUGCUCCUCUUUGUCACCGAGUCAUGGGAAAGUCGAGGUUUUAUAUAUAGUAAACGCCUCGCACCUGCGCCUCCUAAAUGCUUAAUCCUUUCACUGUCGGAUCAUUUUUCUUUUUAUCAUCUGCUACUUUAUAGGCGCUCAUUUGUGUACAGUGACUCCUCCCCUACAGUUCUUUAUUUACUUUAUUCUUUUUAGUAAUAGCUGCUGAUUGCAUAGAGCUCGGAAACUGUUAGUAGAAGUGAAUAGAUUGACAGUGAACACGUAACACACAGUGUGUGUGUGUGUGUGUGUGUGUGUGUGUAAAGACGGCACCCUAAUUAAUGAAGCAGAUUCCCUGCCUGUAUUUCUAACAAAAGUGCCAAAAGAAAUGUUUCACGAUACACCGUAUCUUGAAACAUUUCUGCCCGCACCCUGACUACUUUCAAGAGGCUGUAGUUGAAAUUACACGAGUUUUAAGAGUGUUUCUGUGGUUCUAGUUACAGACUGGUAAGGUCUCUACAGCAUCAACGGGAGAACCAGUCUUGAAAACCCGGGUAAUUAUUUCUGUGGCCUUUGAAAAUAGUCUGGUGAAAGAGCAAGGCCUUUCAGAAUACAAGCACAUAACCUUGCUUCAUGAAAAACAAGUGCAUUCAUGAUACCUAAGACUGCCUUGCUACAUUCCCCCAGUGACUAAUGUAUCUUUUUUUUUUUCUUUAUCUCGUAGCAUUAGUCUGUCUGUCAUUGAUGAAAACACCCGCACUACAUGUAUUACGUUAUUUCAUUAGUCUCAAGUCGCUAUUUCAAGUCUAUAUAAGCCUCAAUAAAUACGAGAGCUGUGGUGGUGGUCUGCUUCCCGUCUGUCAAUCAGAGCGUUCUAUUUUUCCGUUUUCUUUCGUAUUCUUCGUAAAGCUCACGCAUCCUUCAUUUGUCGUUACUUCUUGCCUCACAGAGUAUUGGUAAGUGUCUUCUACUGGUAAUAAUAACCGUGAUUCUAUUAUUUUGUAUCAUUACAAGUAGUAUUGCGAGAGUGGCUCCGUUCUUAGUGACAAUUACCUCAGCACAGCCUUCACCAAUCAGCGCCAAGUAUUCAAGUCACGUGAUACUCUCUCCUCGCCGUCUCUUCAGCCAUUCGCCCUGCGCCCGCUGACGUGACGAGUCCCUGGUUGUGUUACGGCGGUGAAGCGGUGUUGCAUCUGUCCCUGGCGGCCAUGUUGUGGUGGACUGCGGUGUAGAGGGAGAGGUGGAUGCCUUCUCUCCCCUUCCCUUCCUCCCCGCUCCCUUCCUAACCUGCCCGCCACCCUCUCCCCGCUUUUUCCUGCCUGUCCUCCCCUGCUCCUCGUGUCCCAGGUGACCCAUGAACUACCUCUAACAAUGGUGAUGAAGAACCAGAAGUGGGUUGUAGGUGACGAGAUAACUAUCCCAGGUCAUCCCGGAAGUGGCGAGGUGACCCCAUACAGCUCCACAAGGUCGUGGAGGACACCAGACAUAGCCACGUGGUCGCCUACACUCAGCCAUCCACCUCACCUGCCCCAGACUGCUACCCGGACACCAUCCAGCCACAAGAACCCAGAUAAGCACUUCCGGGGUCCUUGGUUGUGGUUAGCUAGCUAGUUUGUUUAGGGGUCACUUGCUGUACAUAGGAACCCUCCUCGGUCUGAUGCUAUUUUUUUUAUUUUUAUUUUUGAGGUGUAACGCUGUGCUCUACGUGAGAGUGAUAGUGUUUAUCUUUAUUUAUUUAUUUUUUUUCCUGAAGACCAGUUCUGAGGUUAUCUUGGAGGUUAACGGAGAAGAGUUCUUCACAACUGUGUUUGUUGUUUUAUUUUAUUUUUUUAUUGGUCACUUUUUGUUUUUUGUUGUGAUUGUUAUUAAUUUUAUUUAUUUGUAUUGAAAUAUGUGAGUGUGAAUGCAGCACAAUAUAUAAAGGUGUGCAUUCCAGAGUGAAAGGAAGGCGUGCACAGGGUAGAGUGGACAGGAUGCAGUGCCUUGUUUUUAUCACCAGACCUUGAUUGAUUGAAGCAAAUGAAAACUUUGGUAUAAAUUGUUAUCUUUCCAAGGGUUGAGGAGAACAUGGUCGUGGUUCAAGUGAAGCCACUACAGCCACUCCCUGACAAGCCUUCCACACCGACAGACAGUGGCAGCAGACACACAAGAGACGAUGGUGUGGUGGACAAGAGGAUGCAGGGAGACAGCAGACAGAAUGGAAGCUACAGAUGAAAGAAGAGCAGGUCAAGCCAUGGCAGCAGACACAUAGACAGACAGAUUGGAUAAGAAAGAAGUAUUAUUUAGUGAGACAGGACCACUGGAAGCUGUCAGAGUGCUGUGGCACGUGGCAAGAACCAAGUGUUCAGGAGCACACACUGUCCCUUCACCAGUCAGCAGGUCUGGGCGGCUUGGAAGUCUCACUACAAACUGAAGACCCGUUCACUUGAAGGACACAGUUGGAGUCGGACACAAGAUCCAAGAGGGAGGAGUCAUUUUUAAACGAGACCUUCAGGCAGAAAAUUCGAGUGGAUUUUCAACUCUAAAAAUAACUUAAUUUUUUUGGGUAUUUUGAACCUUCUUUAUCUUGAAAAAUAACUCCAGAUAUUAUGACUCUAGCUGGAAGUUGACCUGAGCAAUGUAGGGUUUGCUGCAGUGAGAUUACCAAGGCACGAGUGUCUGGGAUUUAAAGAUGAUGGAUAUGUGUCCUGUGUGCUGCUGUGCUGGGAGGAGAGGAGCAGCAGCAGUCGUGGGGCUCUGCUGCUGCUGUCACUGGUGCAGCUGUUCACUCCUGCAGCCACCUUCCCUCAACAUACUGUGUCUUUCCUCACCUGCAAUGAACAACUAUGAACAAUACUUCUCCUCCGAUGAGGAACAGUGAAUAACCUCUCUCUCUCUCUCUCUCUCUCUCUCUCUCUCUCUCUCUCUCUCUCUCUCUCUCUCUCUCUCUCUCUCUCUCUCUCUCUCUCUCUCUCUCUCUCUCUCUCUCUCUCUCUCUCUCUCUCUCUCUCUCUCUCUCUCCUCUCUCUCUCUCUCUCUCUCUCUCCACAGUAUGUCCCCCACAGUAUGUUUACAAACCCACAGUGACUCUCCACAGCCCCUCACCAACAAUUGUCUCCUUCACACACACACACACACACACAAAUGUUGGAAUCUUGUAGUGUCUACAACAAGGAAUGGAACCAAAAUCGACAA